AUGAACGCUGGCGGCGUGCCUAAUACAUGCAAGUCGAGCGAACAGACGAGGAGCUUGCUCCUCUGACGUUAGCGGCGGACGGGUGAGUAACACGUGGAUAACCUACCUAUAAGACUGGGAUAACUUCGGGAAACCGGAGCUAAUACCGGAUAAUAUAUUGAACCGCAUGGUUCAAUAGUGAAAGACGGUUUUGCUGUCACUUAUAGAUGGAUCCGCGCCGCAUUAGCUAGUUGGUAAGGUAACGGCUUACCAAGGCAACGAUGCGUAGCCGACCUGAGAGGGUGAUCGGCCACACUGGAACUGAGACACGGUCCAGACUCCUACGGGAAGAAGCAGUAGGGAAUCUUCCGCAAUGGGCGAAAGCCUGACGGAGCAAAGCCGAGUGAGUGAUGAAGGUCUUCGGAUCGUAAAACUCUGUUAUUAGGGAAGAGCAAAUGUGUAAGUAACUAUGCACGUCUUGACGGUACCUAAUCAGAAAGCCACGGCUAACUACGUG
rnacentral:rRNA from 1 species